AAGAUGAGGGAAUCAAUUGCACAUUGGUUGAUGGCAACUAAGCAACCAUUUACCACUGUUGGAGAUGAGAUGUUUGUAUACAUGAUGAAGAUGGCAAAUCCAUUGUUUGAGAGGAUAAGUAGGAAUACAAUAAAGGCGGAUUGCUUUAAGGUAUAUGAUCACGAGAAAAAAAACUGAAAGACCAUGUAAAAGAAGCCUCGAAUAUUUGUUUAACAACUGAUUGCUGGAAGUCAUCUCAUCAGAAAACCGAGUAUAUGGUUAUCAAGUUUAAAGACGUUUUCCCAAGAUAUGCAGAAUACGAACCUCAUUUUAAACAUUUGCCUACCGAGGAAGAUUGGAAAAAUGUG